CCCUACUUCUGCAAGGUUAUACAAGGAAAGCCGAAACUUUCUUGUCAGAGGCAGGGGAGCAAAUUCAGUCUCCAGCGGACCUGAAACAACGAGCAGCUUGGAGAAGGUGUGCUUCCAGGACACGUGCCAGCACUGAACCAGCACCAGUGGCAGGUUUACAGAAAUGCCACAGGCAAAACGAGAGCUCUGGUAAUUCACAGGCUCCCCAGGUUUGACAGGCAAUCAUCCAGCCUCACCUCUUGUAUAAGACUGGCCCCUUCAUUUCAUGUAGUUACCCCUGUCCCACACCCAAUAAUAUGUGCUUGCCAGCAGUGCUUGUGGGAAGUUAACCAGCCUCAGUGCGGAAUCGAGUGGAGACAGGGAAUCUACCAUGUCCAUGGGUUGAUCAGCCACACUCUACAAACACAGUGGUUUAUUUCUAAUCAGAUAUUGCCUGGUUAUGGCAUCUGGCUGUGGUUCCUGUUCUUCCUUUCUUAGGAGAUUAAAGACUUUUUGUGUGCCACAUGUUUACUCCCUGGGAUUGCAUUGGCAUAAAGGCAUGUUCUUCUGUUUGAGAGGCCAAACAGACUGAGCUUACUAUGGAGCAAAUAGUGCAGCUCUCAGCCGUUGGAGUCUCUCUUCCCCUUUCAUUCCCCAGCGGUCAACAUCCCUUUUAAAGCAGGGAAGUAAUGCUUUUGCCAGUGCCGUACGCUGGUGUCAUAUACCUUUUCUUACCCUUACCCAUCGUGUCCUUCCCUGAGCGUCCACUCUGAGGUCUUAGGCUGGAUUUUAACGCAUUUUCCCAAAGGGAAGCGCUUGGAGCCAUCUUAUAUGAUUCAAGGUGCAUAUUGAAUCCGAGAGGGACAAAACCAGCAGUAACAGAAGAACUUUCUGACUUGUAAAGGCCAAAAGGAAUUAAUCACUGCAGGGAAAUGGGCUCUCUCGUUUACACAAAGCAUGAGAGAGAGAGAAAAUAAAGUGCUUUAGAAUGGAGAAGGGAAAGAAAGGCCCUUGCAGUGUCCCUGUCAGUACCCAAAUAAAUCUUUGAAGAGAGAGGGGAGACAAUAGCAGCAGAAAGCUACCCGAGCAAUGGCAGAGCAGAGCCUUAGGAGCAGAUCUCUUUCUGACUAAUGGCUGCCAGCUCUGGACCUUUGUGGUUAGUUUGCUUUGGUGAACCCAGUAACCGCUGGCAUGGUCUUGUCUUUCUCAUCCGUGGAUUGCUUGCUAAACUGGCGGAGUGGUGAUACUGAAGGCAAUAUCCUAGCAGGAAUGUAGCUAAGCCACUGGAUCAAAUACUGGAUUUGAAUCAAACCAGUUCUGUUUUGGAGCAACUGAACUGUCCGGUGGGCUGGAAAAAGCUCUGGGGAACCUUGACCAAGGUUGCUAGAGAGCAAAGUAGUAGAGAGUUUCCAUCCAAAAAGGAUCCAGGCAACAUCUCCUUACAGUAAACAGAAGAAAGCCUUGCAGUUUUGUGAUCCUUAAGCAUAAGGGGAGUGGCUGAGACUGCUGGGAGCAGGCUGACAGCCCUGGGAGGUUUUAUACUGACAGAGCACAUCUGUAGAGGAGAGCUGCCAGGCUGUCAUGCAAACCCAUUGGGGGACCAUCUCACACGUCAAGCACAUGCUGUCUGCACCUCCAGGGCUCCUCACACCUUCCUGGACAUGACUGCAGGCAGGGAAGCAGUGCUCAGGAGCUUGGGCUGGUCUCCCUCCCACCAUCUGUGAUGGAUGAGAUCAAUGUGGAGCUCCCACCCUCCUGCUCUCCAAAGAGCCAAUGUCAUGGGCAAUUUGAGGAAGGGACAAAGCAGAUAACAACCCUCCCCUACAGUUCUCACAAAACCUUAUGUCCUGGGUUCACCAGUUCCAGCAUGGACACUUGUCUGCAGAGGGGCUGAAAAAGGAGUGAUAAUUUGUUUAUGCUUCUGAGCAUCAGGUUUGUAGCAAGGAUGGUCCUAUUCUGAUGGAAACAGAAAGGCAGGUGCUUGUACCCGGGGGACCACCAUGCUGACUGCCAGAGAUUCCUGGCACUGGCUACUAUGGAGUUAAGCAGCCAGGCUGGAGUGUGCAAACAAACAUCGAGACCUGUGCUAACAGCCCCGCUUUGUGCUAGUGGGAAGCACAGGCUCCAACUUCUUCCGAUUUCUCACCUGUCCAGACUGGUACAGAGAGAAAAUGCCUCUUGGAGUUGCAGAGAAAACCACACCUAUUUACAGUGGAUUCCCCAGGGCCCUCCUGUGGGGUAUUAACCCUUCAGCCCCAGGGCCCACAGUCUGCCUUUGGCAUGGAGAAUUCCCCACCAUCCUUGGGGAAAGCAGCCCUUCUCCCUCUGGUGUAGGGGUUUUGCCUCUUUGUGGCCCAGGGCAUCGGCCCAUCCACUCUCUAGAGCAAGUCACGGCUUUCUCUUUCCUCCCCAUCUGUACAGUUAUCUCUGCCCUUUCCACAGCUGUGCACUGUGGCUCUUUCUGCAGGCAUUGGGCUUCCUGACCCAGCUCCUUCCCCCAGAAAGCAGACCUUGCACUGCUGUUUCUGGGUUGGAUUUGUGAUCACGUCUCUGUGUUUGUCUCAGACCCCACCAAGUUUCCCUGAGAUACCAGCUCAUCCCUCCCCCUUGAAAUGUCCUUGCUCUCUUCGGGCUUCUUCCUGGUCUCACUGUUUGCUUUCCCUCUUUUCCCUGGUUUCUGAGGUUUCUCGGAAGGAAUCCCGUGCUCUGGCCUCCUCAGGCUGGAGUGUUGUGUUGUUGUUUUUCCUUUCGUCGCUAUGGGCAGGGAUUUUGAAUACUGAGCCAAGGAGAGGGAGGGAAGGAGGGAGGCAGUGAAAGAAGGAGGGAGUACAAGGGGAGGGAUGAAGAAAGCCAGGGAAGUGAGAAAGCAAAGUGUGUAGGGGAGCGGGGUAAGGAAGAGGUGGUGGAGGAAUGAAGUGGGGAAGGAGGAUAGAGGGCAUUAUGAAGAGGAAGAGUUUUGGAUAAAUAUCCAGGAGAGCUUUUUCAUUGGUUCUUGUAUUAGUAACACUAUUGCAGCAAACAGCAAUAUCCAGAGCAAGGCAGGGAACAUCCCCCCCAUCUGUCUAGGACACAAGGCAUGAGAGGUUAUUCAAGGCAAAGAGAUCCUUCAGAAAACGAACAUCCAAGCCUAGAGCAGCCAGUAGGAGCACAGACUGCAGCAGGGAAAAUGCUAGAUGGCAGUUUGGUGGGUAAGGAGAGAAUGUGAAGCAUAAAGAUGCAGAAAAUACAGGACCUUCUUUUAGUUUGUUGGAAGCAGGAAGCCUGGGAGGGGGCUAUCAGGUUUUCUGGGAACAGGGAAGAAAGUAGAGCGGCUAAGGAAGCUUGCAGCACUGCAGAGAAGCUAAGUAAAUCCCAUAGCAAAAGCAAAAAUGGAUAAACACCCCUACUAGUGCAGCUCAGCUGCUACAGACAAGGCACCCUUAGGCACUGAGAACAUACAAAGGCAAAGGCUGGUGUCUCAGAAAACAACCAUCCCCAGGACUGGGAACCAGCACCCAAGGAUCAGAGUGCAAGAGACCAGCAGCUGUGUGCAGAAAUAGGGGAGGGCAGAGAGAGCCAAGGAGCUGCGGACACUGCUCUCAUUUCAGCCCCAGGUGAAUCCAUACACCCACCUGAUCUGCUAUGUUGCAGUGAGAAAUCUGCAGCUCGCUUUGCUCUGCCAAGGGAAAUCCUGCUCCUGCAGCUGCUAGAAGUUCUGGAGUGUUUCCUGCUGUGGGAAAUAACAGCAGGACAUGGGUUUUCAAAAAGCUGGGAGCAGUGUCUUUCACAGGAGCAUCUCCAUGAGGCUAAGCGGCCAUGAGGUGAUUAGUGCAGGCACUGCUAAAAUGCUGCAAAGAAGCAGA